GGCAGCCAGAGGAUGGUGACAAAUUUUUGGCAUGGAAGUUCCAUAGGUGGUCAAGAACAAUCCCAAUACGUGUACAUACAGUCGAUGUAAGAAAGGUCUCUCUCUAUUUGUCAGGAGAAACAAUGUUUUUUGUUCAACUCUUGGUAUUGCGCUUAUUGUCGGCAGGUACGUUAUAAGAUAGAGAAAAACGACAUGAGGUGGUAGUGGAACAGGUUUUUAAGCCUUCAUUUUUUUUUCAAUCUGCCACCGGUUUCUUGGUACAUUCGCUGGGUUACUGUCAAGACCAGUAAGGCUGUGGUCAAGGAUUUUCAAAUUCGGGCGGGCUAUUGAAGACGGGUCUCGGUAACAUAUGCACGACCACAUGAUCUCUAUUAUAAGCGUAGCCGCGGUUCCAACUUAUAAAUUGAAAUUCAAAAAUGAAACGUGAUGCAGAAAGAAGUAGAGUAAAUCUUCGAUUACAAACUAUAUAAAAAGGCAGUUUCUAUGUUCUACGUGCAAGGAGUCUCUUGCACAAUCAGAACAACGAUCACAAAAUCAAAUCCAAAUACCCGAAACCAAAAAAGAAAAAAAAAAAGAACAGAACAA